AUUUGGCGCGCGUGCAGAGAGCGUUUCAGUCAAAAUCGCGAUCAACUAAAAUGAUCAACAUUUACUCAAUUCCUCUACACUCCGGGGGCAAAAUUCGGGAUAAAACAUUAGGGGCUAGAUUAAAAUAAUAACCCUAGCGACGCCUCUGCAUGGAGACACAUUGUGACUGUGGAUCUACAAAUGGAGACAUUUUGGGACUGUGGCUACUCUACCAAGAAGUGGGCGCCCAGUCAAAAUGGCCCCAAGAACGCAACAAGACUCAUCAUUGAGAUCUGACUGAAGAGGCUUUGGAUUUGGCCACACCAACAUGUUCUGCAAUCGAUCAUCUAAAACAAGGAGCAGGGCCAACAAAGUCUCCUGAAGAGUUUCAUGGUGGAAAAGGGAAGAUGGAGGUUAUGCUAAGAUGUUUGGUUUUGUGGCUCGAAAGCAAGGAAGCACAACUGAUAAUGUGAGUCACCUGUUUGCUGAGCUUGAAUGCCAUCAGCCUGCCACAGCCAUUGUCAAUUUUGUUUCCAAAGUAAUGUUUAAUUCCCAAAACUUGUGAGUGUGUGUUUCUCAAUGCUAGAGCAGGUUUGUUAUUUUUGUUGUUUUUUCUGCCAGUGUGGACAAAUGUCCUUCAAGUCAAAAACACUUGACAUUUGGGACUUUAUUCUAGUUUUGGGUGUUCUAGCAGUUAUGGGCAUAAUUGAGUGACACACAGCAAAUCCAGAUAACCUUGCUGGGAAUGGAAAACUAUUUGGAGAUUUUCGAAAUUAGAACUAUGGCAAGAGAACAUGGUUAAACAACCAAAGUUAACACUCAACAACGAUAUGCCAUAUGGAUAAUGUGUUUCUCAAUUUCUUUGUUGUUCUUUAUGUAUAAAAUAAAAAUUAGAAUGUUUGAUUGCAUGGAACACUGUUUAGGAGAAUAACUAAGCUGGAUGUUAUGUUUUAUUUUUGUUUGCUUUUUUUUGUGUUUUUCUUGUAUAAACAGCUUUAAAAUGAAAUGAUGAAAAGUAUAUGAUAAUAGGUAUGAAAAUAUUAAUAGAUAUGA